UCCAGGUGCGACCCUGGGAGCCUGAAACCUAUCUUUUUAAGGGGACAUAGUCUACCCACUACAGAUGGAGAGAAGUGAGAGGCUUCAAGAACUAUCAAAGUAAGAGAAAUCUUAGUGACUAGAAGGGUGUGGGGUGGGGGCAGUAGAAUGAAGAGAAAAAUCACUCAAAUGCCCUGCUCUCAUAGGCAUCACAAAGCUCGGAGUCAUGCUGGUGUCUUGUUCCUCUCUGAGUGAGUUCCUUAGGAUAGUAUUUCGAGAACCUGAUUCCCGUAUUUUGGGGCCAGUAAACACAUUGCUGAAAUAACCUCCUUCCUGCCUGACAGCCUGCUCCCUUCCCCGUGGGGCGGGGUUCUCCCCACGCAGUCCUGCAGGCACACAAUCAACUCCAGUUCAGGCGACACUUUGGAGCCGAACCAAGUUCAGGGUCUCAGGGCCCCGGGACACCGGAAGCUGCUCCAGAUCUCAGCAGCCUUAAGGGGAAGGGCAGAAGGGAGCCAGCUUUGGGCCAGUCUCAGGGUGGAGGAGGAGAGGACCGGCCAGUGGUCAGUAGGGGAGCCCCUUUCUCCCAAUCCCAAGCAUGACUCAAAGCACUUUCCUUCUGGAAGGUUCUGCUCUUCCCUCCUCCCAUUACCCACCAAAGAUCUUGAGCAGGUGUCAGAGUUCCCUGGAGGGCUUGUGACAACACAGAUCACUGGGCCUCUCCCCAGUGUCUGAUUCAGCAGCUCUGAGCUAGGGAUCAGGAAUUUGCAUUUCUAAUGCGUUCCCAGGUGGCUGGGGCGUUGCUAUUCCUGGGAACAGGUGAAACUGCAGCUGAGUUAAACCUCUCAGCCCUGCCUGUGAGGCUCACACAGGGAGUUAAAAACAACACCGGCCCCUGUGCUGGAUCCCAGACCUGAGAAUCUCUGAGGAUGGGGCACAGCGCUGGCAUGCUUAGGAGUCUAAUGGUCAGCCAGACUGGGGGCCAAGAGCCCAAUUCCUCCUUGUGCAUCAGACAUAGAUUCAGAAAGCUUUCCCUGACUCCCCCAGGGGCAUCAGGGCUCUCAUCCACCAUCCAUUUAUUCCUUCCCUCGCGUGCACUGGGUCCUGCUGUGAGGCCAGGUCUCAGCUCUGUCCUCGUGGUGAUUUCAUGCCUGGUGGAGGAGACAGACAUAAACAAUCAGUCUGGACAACAUCAGAGUGCCUUGAAAAUAAAACAGGAUGACGUGAUAGGGAGCAUUACUUUGGAUGGGCUGAUCAGGGGAGGCCUCUCUGAGGAGGUGACAUUAGAGCCAGAGCUGAGGGAGCUGCCAUGGAGACCAGUGGAGAGUGUUUGAAGCAGUGAGUACAUGCCAAGGUCCUGUGGUGGUCAUAAGCUGAACACAAUGGAAGACCCGCUAGAGGCUGGGGUGGCUGCAUCUCAGCGAGUGAGUUGGGGGAGGGAGGAGAGGUGGCCUAGUGCCAGAGCUGCAGGGCCUGCUGGGCUCCGGGGAUGGGUCAGGGCUUUAAGCCUGUGCAAAGGGAAGCCAACAGAGGGUUUAAGCCAGGAGUAACGAGAUCCCUUUGCUUUGAAAAGGUCCACUCUGAUCUCUGUAAUAUACCCUCACUGAAAUGAAGCAGAUUCCUUUCCCUGAGUAUUUUUCUCAGACUCACCGCUGUGAGAGUACUGUGUUUGUCCCUGCUGGUCCGGGACCUGUGUGAGGCUGUCUUCCUUGCCCAUUGGAAAUGCCCAGUAAACUACUGGCUCUGUGGUGAGUGUCCGGCGGUCUGCCUAACAUCGUCCCACCCCUGCCCUAACAGGAGUGUUGGCUGCUGGUGGCUGUGUCCAGCAUGCUGUCCCCAUCUUUAUACUGUUCUACAGUUGAGUGAACUUUUUAAAGGGUGAGUGAGGCCCUUUUCUAUCUGAAAGGGAUGCUUUGUACCAAUGUUAGCUGCAAGAAUGCUCCUGUCUGACUGCACUGUGGCUGUCCGCUUGCUCUGAUGCUGCUGCGGAAUGUGUCCCCAGGCCUCAGUGGGCCCCAGCGGGGAGGACAUGGGUGUUGGAGAGGAGGGGGCUGUACAGAAGCUGCAGGAUAGAAAAUGUCACUCUGGCAGGAAAAGUAGCAUAUCAGAUGGGGCCUUGCAACAAAUGGAGUGUUGAGCAGAAACUUGGCUUUCAUUUAAAAAGCCAGUGUGCAUUGGGCCCACACAUGGUGAGGGGUUAAGUGGUUCUCCUGAGUUAGGAAGAGAAGCCCCAAAACUCAGCCCAGAUUUCAACAAAUCAGAGCUCAUACUCUUUGGACCUGGGAACAAAAGCCCUAAGAGAGAUACAGGGAAGAGAGAGAUUUAGACUGUGAGCCUCUUGUGUGCUUUUUUGGUACUCCCUAAAAGCUGCUGCCAAAAUCAUGCCACCUUGACAUUGCAUGCUUCAGUUCCUCCAACACAGAAAGUUCAUUCCUGCUCCGGACCUUUACACUUGCUGUGCCCUCUGCCUGGAGUCCUCUCCCGGUCUUCUCAUGAUUGGCCCUUCUUCAUGCAGUUCUCUGCUCAAGGAUCACCUUCUAGAAGCCUCACUGUCAUUCACUCUCUGUCAGACCACUCUAUUUUGUUUCUCAGCAUUUAACUUAAUCUGAAAUAAUUUUGUUUGCUUAUUUGUGUAUGUCUCCACCCACUGGAAUGCACCUCUGCCAUGGAAGGAACCUCUCUCAUGAUCUCCAGUGCCCAGAGCUGUCCUGACCCAUAGAGGACACUCGGGGGAAGUCCUGAGAUGGAGCAGCAUUAGGACCCUCAGUCUCAGUGGUCAAGGAUGGACAUCCCUGAGGACCCAGGCUUUUUUCAUCUCUCUGCUCCAGCAUUUUCUGCAGUGCAAGGUGGCCCCAUCAACCCAGACUUCUCAUGCAGAAUCAGUUCCUGUAUCCACCAGGGUCUGAGCAGGAAGUGGACAGCACGCUCAAAAUAGGAGACUCUCAAGAGGGUUCAACAGAGGAGCUAUUUCCAAAGGCAGAGGGAAAACAAAGGACGGAGAGGCUGUUCUCAGCCCUUGAGCCGAAGGGUCGGGACCUGGAAGGAGAGGAGGCUGCUGAUUCAGUCAGCUGUUGCCGCAUAACAAUGUAAUGACUUAAAACAGCACCAUUUAGGUAUUUCUCCCGAUGUGUGGGUAGAAACGGCGAUUCAGGUCCCAAAUGGCCCCUCAAGGUGCUGGCUGCCAGCUGGGGGCUCGUUGGGCUGCUGCUGGGGCUGGGAUCCCCUCACGUGGCUUCUUCACCCAGAUGCUUGGGCUUCCUCCCAGCGUGGCUGCCGAGUUCAAGAGGGAGUGUUCCAGGAGGUGAGGCCAGAAGCUGCUGAUCGCUUAGGGUCCCCUCUUGGAGGCCACAGUGUCACUGGUGCCACAUCCUAUUGAAACAGGCCACAGUGUCAGCCUAGAUGUGGGGGGAGGGGACAUAGAUUCUUUGUAAGAGGAGUAGCCAAGGAUCUUUAAUCUUUUAAUCUUUAAGGAAAUAGCAUGGGCGGAAUCUGGGGAAUAGUGUCUCAUUUCUCCCUCACCUUCUUCAGAUCGCCUCCCUCCCACUGGCCAGAGGCAGCUGGACACGUAAGGACAAGGAAGCCUGCUGACCUGGCCUGUGACAGUCAUCUUCUUGGGUGGCACGGGGUGGAAGCGGAAGAUGGCUUUGAGGGGGAGGAGGACACCCUGACACAGCACCUGCUGCUGCCAAGCUCUUCUAGGACCCUCUAUUUUUCCUUUAUUAUGAUGCAAUUUGUGACAGAUCUGUGAUUCGGCUUUGUGUCAAAUUUGGCUUUGUGUCAAAUUCUUCAUUGUCAGUCUCUCUUUUAAGACCAUGAGCUCCCAGGAAGUGGGACCAGCUGCUAUGCCCACCACUGGAUCCCCAGGCCCAGCACUGGCAUAGGUAGGUGCUCAGUAGCCCCUCACUCCUGAUCCAUCUGCUAGAGCUGUGGGUUCUGUACCCCAAAUACACCUUGAAUCCAUCCAGCUGUCUCUGGUUCCCCCAAUCCAGAUCCCUAUAACACAGGACAACUGCAUUUCUUUUUAUUGAGGUAUGGUUGAUAUGACAACUGUAUCUUAUCAUAUCUAAGCCACGUUUUUUACUCUUGACCUCCAAACAGUGGCCAGGGAGAUGCAUUUUUUUAUUCUUAAGAAAAGAAAAGAAAUUGUUUUGGUCAACUGGGGCUGCUCUAGAAGAAAGCUACAGACUGAGUGGCUUAUAAGCAGCAGAAUUUAUUUCUCAUACUUUUGGAGGCGGAAGUCAGAGGUGAAGGUGCUGGCAGAUUCUCUGUCUGGUGAGAACCCACUUCCUGGUUCAUAGGUGGUACCUGGGACCCUGUGUCCUCACCUAGCAGAAGGGGUGAGGAAGCUCUCUGGGGUCUCCUUUAUAAGGGCACUUAUUUCAUGUAUCAGGUUCCACCCUCAUGACCUAACUGCCUCCCAAAGACCCCACCUCUUAACACCAUCACACUGGGUGUUAGGAUUUAACAUAUGAAUUUUGGGGGACACACACAUUUAGUCUUAGUAGAAACACACACCAGAGCAAAGACUGUACCAUGAAUUCCCCAACAUGCCCAUUUCUCAGAUUUAACAAUUAUCCAGGUUUUUUUGUCCCUGUUGCUUCAUCUGUCCUUGUUUCUUUCUCUUUGAGUGAAUUGUCUUGAAGCUUACCUCGGGUCCUCAUGGUGCCAUCUGUGCUUCUCUGGCCCUUGAACAAACUGGACAGCUCCUUGUUGCAGGGCCUUUGCACUUACUGCUUAUUUUGCCAGAGAUGUCCUCCCCUGGCUCUGGCCCUUCAUACUUCACCCCUCCACCCCCUCAUCUCUCUGUGGUAUUACCCCAUUGUUUCUCUCAUUAGCACUUAACAUCAUCUAAGAUCCUUAUUUAUUUGCUUGUGGGAUUUUUGUUGUUGUUGUUGUUGUUUGUUUUGCUUUUAAAUUUCUCUUCCCAACUAAAAAAGAAGGCCAGGACACAGGGACCCUGUCUUUCUGGUCCACUACUCUAUCCCCAGCUCAUAACACACAGUAGGCCCAGCAAAGAGUGGGUGCUCAGCAGGUAUUUGCUACAUGAAGAAUGAAUGAAUGUGAACAUCUCUCUGGGUAGGUAGGGCAGGGUCAUGUGACUUUAGAGGAGCCUUCUGGGUCCUGGGAUAGGAACCAUCCUCAUGUGGCCAGCUGCUGUGGGCCAUGGCAUCUGACAGAAGCUUCUCUCCUCUUGUGACCUGGUGGAAAUGGAGCAGAGUUAUCAGUUCACAGCUGCCCGCUGAGUCCUCCCCACACACUUCCACCUUUGUCUCCGUACGUAUCAUCCUGUAACAGCAUUGUCCAACAGAGGUGCAAUGAGAGCCACAUAUGCAAUUAAAAUGUUUUUUUAGUAGGUGCAUUUCAAAAAUAAAAAGGUGAAAUUUAUUUUAAUAGUAUAUUUUAUCU